ACUCCUACGGGAGGCAGCAGUGGGGAAUAUUGGACAAUGGGCGCAAGCCUGAUCCAGCCAUGCCGCGUGAGUGAUGAAGGCCCUAGGGUUGUAAAGCUCUUUCACCGGAGAAGAUAAUGACGGUAUCCGGAGAAGAAGCCCCGGCUAACUUCGUGCCAGCAGCCGCGGUAAUACGAAGGGGGCUAGCGUUGUUCGGAAUUACUGGGCGUAAAGCGCACGUAGGCGGAUCGAUCAGUCAGGGGUGAAAUCCCAGGGCUCAACCCUGGAACUGCCUUUGAUACUGUCGAUCUGGAGUAUGGAAGAGGUGAGUGGAAUUCCGAGUGUAGAGGUGAAAUUCGUAGAUAUUCGGAGGAACACCAGUGGCGAAGGCGGCUCACUGGUCCAUUACUGACGCUGAGGUGCGAAAGCGUGGGGAGCAAACAGGAUUAGAAACCCGGGUAGUCCC
rnacentral:rRNA from 1 species